AUGAAUUUGGUGAAAUUACAUGGCAUUAUGCAAGUUUACCAAAUAUCUCAUGGUGCUUUCUGUUUUACAUUGUGCAGGAAUCUUAGCAACAACCACAUUGGAGGAUUCUCUCAAGAAAUCGGUAAAAUGAAGCAUUCUCAAUGCCUUAUCCUUAUUAUCUCAAUUGGCAAGCUUAUGAGUGAAAAAAUACUCCCGCAUCUUGUGAUGCCAUGUCGAUAUUUCUCAUGUCUUGGCCUAUGA